rnacentral:rRNA from 1 species
GAUGAACGCUGGCGGCGUGCCUAAUACAUGCAAGUCGAGCGAACGGACGAGAAGCUUGCUUUUCUGAUGUUAGCGGCGGACGGGUGAGUAACACGUGGAUAACCUACCUAUAAGACUGGGAUAACUUCGGGAAACCGGAGCUAAUACCGGAUAAUAUUUUGAACCGCAUGGUUCAAAAGUGAAAGACGGUCUUGCUGUCACUUAUAGAUGGAUCCGCGCUGCAUUAGCUAGUUGGUAAGGUAACGGCUUACCAAGGCAACGAUGCAUAGCCGACCUGAGAGGAGGAACGGCCGCACUAUAAAUGAGGCAGGGUUCAAACGCUUACGGGACGCAGAAGUUGCGAAUCUUCCGCAAUGCUCGAGAGCCGAACAAAGCAAUGCCGCGUGAGUGAAGAAGGUCUUCGGGUCUUAAAACUCUGUUAUUAGGGAAGAACAUAUGUGUAAGAAAAUGUGCGCAUCUUGACGGUGCCUAAUCAGAAAGCCACGCCUAACUACGUG